UUGACCUAACCACUUAAACAACGCACACAAAUACACAAUCUUAUCUCCUUCUUUCAACACAUAGUCUCUUUAAGAGAAAAACCCCAACACAUAGUCUCUUUAUCUUCCCAUUAAUUCUUGUUCUCGUCCCUAGCACAACAGUCCUGCUUCAGAUCUCGAAUUCACACACUCCAGUCAUAUCAUCAUUUGAAUCUCUUCCGAGUCCUUCUUCUCCAAUUCCUCAGAUCCGAAUCCAGAAACAUCACUUCUCGGAUUCUUCCUCCAUCCCCGUCGUCUUUGUCCUCCAUGGCUCCAUCAUCUUUUCUUAGAUCUGUUGUCGUUUCCACAUCUUAGGCAGUGAGUUUGUCCCUAAUUCUUCUUGGUGUUUGAGAUUUUGAUUUAGGGUUCACCAAUAAUCUGGAAUUUGGGAGUAACGCGAAAGGAGAGUCUCCAAAUUACGAGAGUGGGCGGAUCUUUCAAGACCACACAACCACAACACUCGCCACAGAUUCAUGGUUGGAGAUUAUUACUCUACAUUUUAUAUGAUUCAAGAACAAAACAAGAGAAAGCUCACUGUGUACAACUCAUGUCACUUUCCAUCUACACAUCUACUAAUUAAUAAUAUUCUCCUGCUGAAUGUAUCUCUAAAAUUUGUUUACUGUAUAUGAAGGUUUUUUCUUAUGUUAUUUAUUAUAAAACUCAUUUCCAUGUUA